rnacentral:rRNA from 1 species
UACGAGGGGGGCAAGCGUUGUUCGGAAUUAUUGGGCGUAAAGGGUGCGUAGGCGGCCUGACAAGUCUGAUGUGAAAUCUCUGGGCUCAACCCAGAGUCUGCAUUAGAAACUGUCGGGCUUGAGUAUGGGAGAGGUGAGUGGAAUUUCCGGUGUAGCGGUGAAAUGCGUAGAUAUCGGAAGGAACACCUGUGGCGAAAGCGGCUCACUGGACCAUAACUGACGCUGAGGCGCGAAAGCUAGGGGAGCAAACAGG